UGCCAGCCGCCGCGGUAAUACGUAGGGGGCAAGCGUUACCCGGAAUCACUGGGCGUAAAGGGUGCGUAGGUGGUUCAACAAGUCAGAAGUGAAAGGCGUUGGCUCAACCAAUGUAAGCUUUUGAAACUGUUGAACUUGAGUGCAGGAGAGGUAAGUGGAAUUCCUAGUGUAGAGGUGAAAUUCGUAGAUAUAUUGAGGAACACCAGUGGCGAAGGCGGCUAACUGGACCGGAACUGACGCUGAGGAGCGAAAGCGUGGGGAGCAAACAGGAUUAGAUA
rnacentral:rRNA from 1 species